UCAAAAGGUUUGCUGCCAGUUGUUUGUUUUUGUUUGGCCAAAAAACAUCAUGAGCUGGCGAUAAGCCCGACUCGCUGCUACAGUUGAGAUAAGCAUCAGGCGCUGGCACAUAAAUAACACUCACUGACCCAGCAGUCCGUUUAUUUGUUGACUAAAAAAUAAAUAAAAUAAAAUACCAAGAGAAGAAAACAAAAUCAAUUCAUUAGAGUGUACAUAACUUCUAUUACGCUGUCGAGCGCUCGUUAUGUCGGCAACACACCUAUUCACGAAAUUCAAAGAACUUCAAACAGCUCCAGGGACUUAAUGCAGUCCCAGAAGUAGCCCUCCUGGUAAGAACGUUUGCUAUAAAAACAAAAUCCGCCACUAAGUAGCGGUGCGUAUGACAUAAUAGCUGUUACGCACAGUGGUUGAAAAAGCAAUAUGUAUAAUACUUUGUUAAAUAUGAAUGUAAAUUGAAUAAAAACUAAAUAUUACCUAGAUAGAUAGAUGCACC